AGAGUUUGAUCAUGGCUCAGAUUGAACGCUGGCGGCAGGCCUAACACAUGCAAGUCGGACGGUAGCACAGAAGAGCUUGCUCUUCGGGUGACGAGUGGCGGACGGGUGAGUAAUGUCUGGGAAACUGCCUGAUGGAGGGGGAUAAUUACUGGAAACGGUAGCUAAUACCGCAUAACCUCGCAAGAGCAAAGUGGGGGACCUUCGGGCCUCACGCCAUCGGAUGUGCCCAGAUGGGAUUAGCUAGUAGGUGGGGUAACGGCUCACCUAGGCGACGAUCCCUAGCUGGUCUGAGAGGAUGACCAGCCACACUGGAACUGAGACACGGUCCAGACUCCUACGGGAGGCAGCAGUGGGGAAUAUUGCACAAUGGGCGCAAGCCUGAUGCAGCCAUGCCGCGUGUAUGAAGAAGGCCUUCGGGUUGUAAAGUUCUUUCAGCGGGGUGGAAGGCUGUGAGGUUAAUAACCUUACCGAUCGACGUUACCCUUACAAGAAGCUCCGGCUAACUCCGCGCCAGUUGCCGCGGUUCUCCGGAGG
rnacentral:rRNA from 1 species